rnacentral:rRNA from 1 species
CGAGGAUUCCCCUAGUAACUGCGAGUGAAGCGGGAAAAGCUCAAAUUUAAAAUCUGGCGGCUGAUGGUCGUCCGAAUUGUAACCUCGAGAAGUGAAGCCCGCACUGGACCAUGUACAAGUCUCCUGGGAUGGAGCGUCAGAGAGGGUGAGAAUCCCGUGCGUGGCAUGGAGCACCAGUGCAGUGUGGUUCGCUCUCAAAGAGUUGAGUUGUUUGGGAAUGCAGCUCGAAAUGGGUGGUAAAUUCCAUCUAAAGCUAAAUAUUGGCGAGAGACCGAUAGCGAACAAGUACCGUGAGGGAAAGAUGAAAAGAACUUUGGAAAGAGAGUUAAAUAGUACGUGAAAUUGUUGAAAGGGAAACGCUUGAAGUCAGUCGCGUUGGUCGGGGAUCAGUCCUGCAGUUAUGCUGGAUGGAAUUCCUGGUCGAUGGGUCAUCAUGAGUUUUGAGCACUGGAGAAAGGCUUGGGGAAUGUGACACCUGUGGGUGUGUUAUAGCUCCAAGUCGUAUACAGUGGUUGAGACUGAGGAACGCAACGCGCCUUUUGGCAGGGAUUUUAUCCACUUUCGCGUUGAGGAUGAUGGCAAAAUGGCUCCAAGCGACCCGUCUUGAAACACGGACCAAGGAGUCCAACAUGCAUGCGAGUGUUUGGGUGGAAAACUCAUACGCGCAAUGAAAGUAAAAGUUGAGAACCCUUCGGGGGGCAUCGAUGCCCGGACCAGAACUUUUGGGACGGAUCCGCGAUGGAGCAUGCAUGGUGGGACCCGAAAGAUGGUGAACUAUGCCUGAAGAGGGUGAAGCCAGAGGAAA